rnacentral:misc_RNA from 1 species
UCUCCGUUGGUGAACCAGCGGAGGGAUCAUUAUAGAGUUUUCUAAACUCCCAACCCUUUGUGAACUUACCUUUGUUGCCUCGGGGGGCCGCCCGGGAGUGUCGCGUUCUGCGCGCUCGCCCGGGAGCCACGGCGCCCCGGUGGCCCAAAAAACUCUUGUUUUGUAUGGCCUAUCAGAAAUACUAUCUAAUAGUUAAAACUUUCAGCAACGGAUCUCUUGGUUCUGGCAUCGAUGAAGAACGCAGC